ensembl:lncRNA
CCGGACACGCCGGAACCACCUGCCGAGUAUGCCGGAACCACCUGCUCCACUCCCCAGAACCACCUGCUGGACACGCCAAAAUCACCUGCCGGCUACGCCAGAACCACUCGGCAGACACUCCGGAACCACCUCCAGGACAGACCGGAACCACCUCUCAUAGGUGACAGAAGCACAUGCCGGAGACUCCGGAAUCACCUGCCGGGCAUGCCGGAACCAUCUCUCAGACGUGCCACAACCACGUGCCGGAGAGACCGGAAGCACCUGCCGAGCUCACCAGAACCACCUGCUGGACAGACCGGAUCCACCGCCGGACAUGCAAAAUCACCUGCCGGCUGCGCCAGAACCACUCGGCGAACACUCCGGAAUCACCUGCCGGGCAUGGCGGAACCACGUCUCAGACAUGCCGGAACCACAUGCCAACGACACCGGAAGCAACUGCCCAGCACGCCAGAAACACCUGCUCGACUCGCCAAAACCACCUGCUGGACACGCCAAAAUCACCUGCCGGCUACGCCACAACCAUUUGGUGAACACUUCGGAAUCACCUGCCGGGCUGGCUGGAACCACCUGCCGGUCACGCCAACAUCACCUGCCAGCUAUGCCAGAACCACUUGGCGGACACCAUGGAAACACCUGUCGGGCCGGCCGGAACCACCUCUCAGACGUGCCAGAACCAUGUGCCUGAGAUGCCGGAACCACACCCCGAACAGACCGAAACCACCUGCCAGACCCGCCUGAACCACCUGCCGAGCAUGCCGGAACCACCUACUCGACUCGCCGGAACCACCUACCUGACACGCCAAAAUCACCUGCCGGGUAUGCCAGAACCACUGGGUGGACACUCUGGAAUCAUCUGCCGGACAUGCCAGAACCAGCUCUCAGACACACCAGAACCACGUGGCGGACACGCCGGAAGCAGCUGCUGAGCAUGCAUGAGCCACAUGCUCGACUUGCAAGAAACACCUGCCAGACACGCCAAAAUCACCUGGCGGGUACGCGAGAACCACGUGGCGGACACUCCGGAAUCACCUGUCGGGCAUGCCGGAGCCACCUCUCAGACGUGCCAGAACCUCGUGCCGGACACGCCAGAACCACCUGCCGGACAGACCGGAACCACCUGCCGGACACAACGGAACCACCGGCUCGACUCGCCGGAACCACCGCCGGACAUGCAAAAUCACCUGCCGGCUACGCCAGGACCACUCGGCAGACACUCCGGAACCACCUGCCGGGCAUGCCGGAGCCAUCUAUCAGACGUGCCAGAAUCAUGUUCCGGACACGCUGGUACCACCUGCCGAGCUUGCCGGAACCACCUGCUGGACACGCCAAAAUCACCUGCCGGCUAUCCCAGAACCACUCAGCAGACACUCCGGAAUCACCUGCCGGGCUUGCUGGAACCACCUGCCGGUCACGCCAACAUCACCUGCCAGCUACGCCAGAACCACUUGGCGGACACUCCGGAAACACCUGUCGGGCCGGCCGGAACCACCUCUCAGAUGUGCCAGAACCAUGUGCCUGAAAUGCCGGAACCACACCCCGAACACACCGAAACCACCUGCCAGACCCGCCUGAACCCCCUGGCGAGCACGCCUGAUCCACCUGCUCAACUAGCCGGAACCACCUUCCUGACACGCCAAAAUCACCUGCCAGGUAUACCAGAACCACUUGGUGGACACUCCGGAAUCAUCUGCCUUACAUGCCAGACCCAGCUCUCAGUCACACCAGAACCACGUGCCAGAGACGCCGGAAGCACCUGCUGAGCAUGCCUGAGCCACCUGCUCGACUCGCAAGAAACACCUGUCGGACAUGCCCAAAUCACCUGCCGGGUACGCCAGAAACACCUGGCGGACACUCCGGAAUCACCUGUCAGGCAUGCCGGAACCACCUCUCAGACUUGCCAGAACCAGGUUCCGGACACGCCGGUACCACCUGCCUAGUAUGCCGGAACCAGCUGAUCCACUCCCCAGAACCACCUACUGGAAACGCCAAAAUCAACUGCCGGCUACAUCAGAACCACUCGGAAGACACUCCGGAACCACCUGGCGGCAUGUCGGAACCACCUCUCAGAGGUGCCAGAACCACAUGCCGGACACUCCGUAAUCACCUGCCGGGCAUGCCGGAGCCAUCUCUCAGACGUGCCACAACCACGUGCCGGAGAGACCGGAAGCACCUGCUGAGCUCGCCGGAACCACCUGCUCGACUUACCAGAGCCACCUGCCGGACACACCAGAAACACAUGCAGGGUACGCCAGAACCACUUGGAGGACUCUCCGGAAUCACCUGCCGGGCAUGCCGGAACCACCUCUCAGACGUGCCAGAACCAUGUGCCGGACACGCCGGAACCACCUGACGAGCACUCCGGAACAACCUGCUCCACGCCCCCGAACCACCUGCUGGACAUGCCAAAAUCACCUGCCCGCUACACCAGAACCACUUGGCAGACAAGCCGAAAUCCCGUGAAGUGCAUGCCGACACAAAAUUUCAGACGUGCCAGAACCUCGUGCCGGACACCCCAGAACCACCUGCGGGACAGACCGGUUCCAACGCCGGACAUGCAAAAUAACGUGCCGGCUACGCCAGAACCACUUGGCGAACACUGCAGAAUCACCUGCCGGGCAUGCCAGAACCACUUGGUGGCACUCCGGAAUCAUCUGCCGGACAUGCCAGAACCAGCUCUCAGACUCACCAGAACCACGUGCCAGAGACGCCGGAAGCACCAGCUGAGAAUGCCUGAGCCACCUGCUAGACUCGCAAGAAACACCUGUCGGAGAUGCCAAAAUCACCUGCCGGGUAUGCCAGAAAGACUUGGCGGACACUCCGGAAUCACCGGUCGGGCAUGCCGGAUCCACCUCUCAGACUUGCCAGAACCAUGUUCUGCACACGCCGGUACCACCUGCAGAGUAUGCCUGAACCAGCUGAUCCACUCCCCAGAACAACCUGCUGGACACGCCAAAAUCAACUGCCAGCUAUGCCAGAACCACUCGGCAGACACUCCGGGAUCACAUGUCAGGCAUUCCGGAACCACAUCUCAGAGGUGACAGAACCACAUGCCGGACACUCCGGAAUCACCUGCCGGGCAUGCUGGAACCAUCUCUCAGACAUGCCACAACCACGUGCCAGAGAGACCGGAAGCACCUGCCGAGCUCGCCGGAACCACCUGCUGGACAUGCCGGAACGACCUGCCUCACAGGCCAAAAUCAUAUGCCGGCUACGCCAAAACCACUUGGUGGACACUGCAGAAUCACCUUGCGGGAAUGCCGGAACCACGUCAUGGACAAACGGCAAACACCUGCCGGACCUGUCGGAACCACCUGUCGAGCACGCUGGAACCACCUGCUCGACUCACCAGAGCCACCUGACGGACACACCAGAAACACCUGCGGGGUACGCCAGAACCACUUGGAGGACUCUCCGGGAUCACCUGCCGGGCAUGCCGGAACCACCUCUCAGACGUGCCAGAACCAUGUGCCGGACACGCCGGAACCACCUGCCGAGUAUGCCGGAACCACCUGAUCCAAUCCCCAGAACCACCUGCUGGACACGCCAAAAUCACCUGCCGGCUAUGACACAACCACUCGGCAGACACUCCGGAACCACCUCCAGGACAGACCGGAACCACCUGCCGGACACGCCGGGACCACCUGCUUGACUCGCCAGAACCACCUGCUGGACACGCCGGAAUCACCAGCCGGCUACGCCACAACCACUUGUCAGAAACUCCGGAAUCACCUGCCGGGCAUGCUGGAACCACGUCUCAGAGGUGCCACAACCACAUGCCGGAGUCUCCGGAUUCACGUGCCGAGUAUGCCGGAACCAGCAGCUCCACUCCCCAGAACCACCUGCUGGACACGCCAAAAUCACCUGCCGGCUACGCCAGAACCACUCGGCACACACUCUGGAACCACCUCCAUGACAGAGCGGAACCACCUGCCGGACACGCCGGGACCACCUGCUUGACUCGCCAGAACCACAUGCCAGACACGCCAGAAUCACCAGCCGGCUAUGCCACAACCACUUGUCGGACACUCCGGAAUCACCUGCCGGGCAUGCUGGAACCACCUCUCAGAGGGGCCACAACCACAUGCCGGAGACGGCGGAAGCACCUGCCGAGAAUGCCGGAAGUUCCUGAUCCACUCCCCAGAACCACCUGCCGGACAUGCCAAAAUCACCUGCCGGGUACGCCAGAAACACUUGGCGGACACUCCAGAAUCACCUGCCGGGCAUGCCAGCACAACCUCUCAGAAGUGCCAGAAGCACGUGCCGGACAGGCCGGAACCAUCUCCCGGACAGACCGGAAACACAGGAAACACUCGCCGGAACCACGUGCUUGACUCACCGGUCCCACCUGCCGGACACGCCAAAAUCACCUGCCCGCUACACCAGAACCACUUGGCGGACAAGCCGGAAUCCCGUGAAGUGCAUGCCGACACAACCUCUCAGACGUGCCAGAACCUCGUGCCGGACAGCCCAGAACCACCUGCUGGCCAGACCGGAACCACCUGCCGGACACGCCGGAAGCACCGGCUCGACUUGCCAAAACCACCUGCUGGACACGCCAAAAUCACCUGCCGGCUACGCCAGAACCACUUGGCAAACACUCCGGAAUCACCUGCCGGGCAUGCCGGAACCACCUCUCAGACUUGCCAGAACCAUGUUCCGGACACGGCGGUACCACCUGCCGAGUAUGCCGGAACCACCUGAUCCACUCCCCAGAACCAACUGCUGGACACGCCAAAAUCACCUGCCGGCUACGCCAGAACCACUCAGCAGACACUCCGGAACCACCUGCCGGGCAUGCCAGAAGCACCUCUCAGACGUGCGAGAACCACAUGCCGGACACUACCAAAUCACCUGCCGGGAAUGCUGGAACCAUCUCUCAGAAGUGCCAGAACCAUGUUCCGGACACGCCGGUACCACCUGCCGAGCUCACCGGAACCACCUGCUGGACACGCCAAAAUCACCUGCUGGCUGCGCCAGAACCACUCGUCAGACACUCCGGAAUCACCUGCCGGGCUUGCUGGAACCACCUGCUGGUCACGCCAACAUCACCUGCCAGCUACGCCAGAACCACUUGGCGGACACUCCGGAAACACCUGUCGGGCCGGCCGGAACCACCUCUCAGAUGUGCCAGAACCAUGUGCCUGAGAUGCCCGAACCACACCCUGAAACAACCUGCCAGACCUGCCUGAACCACCUGCCGAGCACGCCUGAUCCACGUGCUCAACUAGCCGGAACCACCUUCCUGACACGCCAAAAUCACCUGCCAGGUAUACCAGAACCACUUGGUGGACACUCCGGAAUCAUCUGCCGGACAUGCCAGAACCCGCUCUCAGACACACCUGAACGACGUGCCGGACACGCCGGAAGCACCUGCUCGACUCCACAGAGCCACCUGCCGGACACACCAGAAACACCUGCGGGGUACGAGAGAACCACUCAGCAGACACUCCAGAACCACUUGCCGGGCAUGCCGGAACCACCUCUCAGAGGUGCCAGAACCACAUGACGGAGACUCCGGAAUCACCUGCCAGGCAUGCCGGAACCAUCUCUCAGACGUGCCAGAACCACAUGCCGGACACUCCAGAAUCACCUGCCGGGCAUGCCGGAACCAUGUCUCAGACGUGCCACAACCACGUGCCGGAGAGAGCGGAAGCACCUGCCGAGCUCGCCGGAACCACCUGCUGGACAUGCCGGAACCUCCUGCCUCACAGGCCAAAAUCAUAUGCCGGCUACGCCAAAACCACUUGGUGGACAAGCCGGAAUCACAUGAAGGGCAUGCAGACACAACCUGUCAGUCGUGCCACAACCUCGUGCCGGACACCCAAGAACCACCUGACGGACAGACCGGAACCACCUGCCGGACAUGCCAGAACCGCCAGCUCGACUCGCCGGAACCACCGCCGGACAUGGAAAAUCACCUGCCGGCUACGCCAGAACCAAUGGCGAACAACCGGAAUCACCUGCCGAGCAUGCUGGAACCACCUCUCAGAGGUGCCACAAACAUGCCGGAGACGGCGGAAGCACCUGCCGAGAUGACGGAGGUUCCUGAUCCACUCCACAGAACCACCUGCCAGACACGCCAAGAUCACCUGCCCGUUACGCCACAACCACUUGGCAGACACUCCAGAAUCACCUGCCGGGCAUGCCAGCACAACCUCUCAGAAGUGCCAGAAGCAUGUGCCGGACAGGCCGGAACCAUCUCCCCGACAGCCCGGAAACACAGGAAACACUCGCCGGAACCACCUUCUUGACUCACCGGUCCCACCUGCCGGACACGCCAAAAUCACCUGCCCGCUACACCAGAACAACUUGGCGGACAAGCCGGAAUCACGUGAAGGGCAUGCCGACACAACCUCUCAGACGUGCCAGAACCUCGUGCCGGACAGCCCAGAACCACCUGCCGGACAGACUGGAACCACCUGCCGGACACGCAGGAACCAGUCGCUCGUCUAUCCAGAACCACCGCCGGACAUGGAAAAUCACCUGCCGGCUACACCAGAACCACUUGCCGAACACUCCGGAAUCAACUGCCGGGCAUGCCGGAACCACCUCUCAGAGAUGCCAGAACCACAUACCAGAGACUCCGGAAUUACCUGCAAGGCUUGCCGGAUCCAUCUCUGAGACCUGCGACAACCUCAUGCCAGAGAGACCGGAAGCACCUGCCGAGCUCGCCAGAACCACCUGCUGGACAUGCCGGAACCACCUGCCUCACAGGCCAAAGUCAUAUGCCAGCUACGCCAAAAGCACUUGG